AGUGGUCCAUCAAUUUUGUGUUAUCAAGACUAUAAUAUUAAUAAAUCGUCGUUUUGGGCCGCUAGGUGGAACAGUUCUUUUUUUCGUUUGAAGAGUAGUCAUGGAUUUAGAAAUGUUAUCUUGAAUGGGAAAGUAAAUGGGAAGAAAAAAGUGAAAGGCCACAAAAGCAAUAAAAAAGGAACACGCAAUGAUACUUCGGACAGUUUCACAUGUCAACUAGUAGAUUUACUGGGAAGAUUCAAAGUUUCCGAAGCCAAGGGGGUUAAAGAUGUAACAGUAUAGAUUGAAUGGCUUUUUCUUUUUGCGCGCUAAAAUCGAAAAUAGAAAAAUUUGUAAAAAUGGUUUUCAAGGAUAGUUAUUGUGACAACAAUUUGGCCUACACUUGACCGUUUAGUUUAAUACUGAUGUUGGUUGAUACUUCUCAAAGAGAAUUUUAUUGUAAUGCUGAACUAGCUAUUUCAUUGUGCACGCGCGCGCGCGCGGGCAAACCACAGUCAUGACGUCAACCAUUACGCGACAAACAACAAACAGCAAAACCGUGUUUGUAGUAACCGUAGAUUUUCGUUAUUCAGUUGCAGGACAGCUUCACUUAGUAACGGAGGAGGUUUACGCGAUGUGUGCUGUUUUCAGGACUAAACGAUGAAGAACGUCUUUGGGUUGAAUUUCUUGGCGGUAAGGUGAAAGUCAAUUCAAGUGCCUGGUUGGUUAAAGCUUAGAUCAAGGGUUAGGAUCAACAAGCUCUUCACUUAAACUGGAUUAAACUAAAAGAGUCUCCCACACCUGAUUGGAUCCCAAAACUACUUACUUGUUCAUGUUUUCAAAUAUAGCUUCUUUGCAAAUGUGCCU